UUGCUUCAGCAGCACAUAUACUAAUUUUGGAAUGAUACGGAGAUUAGCAUGCCCCUGCACAGGAUGACACACAAAUUCAUGAAGUUUUCCAUAAAAAG
rnacentral:snRNA from 1 species